AAAACGUGUUCUGAUAACAACAACAGAGCACGCAAGAAAAAAAAACGCAAAACGUCAACUAAAACCAUAUGUAAAAAUAGCCGCGUAAUACGAUCGUACAAUACGCACCGCAAUCGUCCUAAUUGUUCCCCAUCGCCCGCCCUCCCACCAAUCCUUGUUAUUAUCUAUCGCCUAAUGGCAUAUCCAAAAUUGUGCAUGAGUGUGUGUAAGUGUGCAAGAAACAGUUUAAUGUGUUGAUGGCGUAUGAUAGAAUGUCCAACGCCGAAACCCCGAUUCCGGUGUGUAGGCAAAUCACGUGACUGCCGCGCGGCCACUGAUGACGCGGCCAAAAAUAUCGAAGCUUGUAGCACUGGGCUGUUUUGUGUGGUACGUGUACGUUCACCUGUCCGCUGUUUUCAAUGUUCCGCCAUUCAGUUAGCCGUAAUGAAUGAUGUGUAAUAAACGCCGUGGAACCGGCGAAUGAUGGCAAACUUUGUGUGGCAUUUGGGUGGUGUGGCACACUGUGCGCGAUAAAAAACAAGUAACCAACAGCUGACAAACAGCUGAGUUGGUUGAGACGUACCGGGUGAGGGACCGGGAGCGGUGCUAAUUGGAGAUGUUUGGCUGGGAAGAGUUGGUAGACUAAACCGUCGCCGUUAUCAACACAGCCGUCGCUAUCAGUCGCCUGGCGAGAGAUGUUUGAGAAGUUCGGCUAGCGCGAGGAGCUGGUCGCGCCAACGCAAAUCAUUGUGAGAUGAGCCGUUGCAGCUCUGGGCGUUUUGGUGCGUAGCUUGGUGUUGUUGUUACGCCGCUGCGAGUCCAACGAUGGGGAGAGAUGGUGAUUCUGGCUAAUGGGGCGGCGUGGAGGUGAAAACGUGUGCACUUUGUGACAGUGACAGUGUAGAAAUGUGAUGUGUAGAAGCGCAGAAGAAAAAAAAACUCAAUCGAACCACAACCAGAUGAAUGAUUGAUCGAGAAAAGCGGCCUGUGACAUUGACGCAUGGACCCAUACAAACCCAAACGAAACGGGGGAAAGAGAGUGUAGCAAACGUGGCAGAUAAGAUUUCCGGAUUUAACAAAAAAUGUGGAGUUUUGCGAGGAUGUAACCCACACUGACAACAACAAAAAAGAGUGUUCGUGUGUGUGUGUGUGUGUGGAUUUGAUUGUCCAGUUAAAUGUGAUUUAGAUGGUGCGAUUUGCAAACGAGAUGGCGCCACGUGCAGUCACGCGGCUACAACACGCUACGAACCCUGCUGAUGCUGUGUACUGCCGGGAAGUGAAGGAUUAUCACCGCAGGGCAGGAUUUACAGGACUUACCCAGUGCACAAACAGACACACCGCUCCGUGAUGACCGUGGUCGUUUACCGUGGACAGUCUCAGCCAGUCUCAGUGAACGAACAGCAAGCGACAAACCCUGCACUCUUCUCCAAAAGACACUCCACCGACAGAGGGAGGGAACACUUUCCUUCCAGCAGUUGUUGCCGGGGAGGAGAGCGGACUUGGCACAACACAACAGCCGGGCGGGCAUGUUUAUUGGGUUCAAUAAAUUUCAAUUUAAAGCAAAACAACGCGCUUGAUUGUUGACCGACGCGUCGCAAACGCGGUCCUCUGGCUGGCAGCAGUAGCAACCGCGCACUAAUUCCCGCCUCUCCGCUCACGGCUGCUUAAUAGUAGUAGCAGCAGUGAGUGCUGCUGGGACACACCAUCGCUUGGACAGUGCCUCACUUGCGGCGAGGCAGACAAAUUAGCAACUCCAGCAAACGAAACCGGGGCUGCGGGGUGGAAGGGCCAACACGCCCGGGUGUGCAUCGUCUCUGACUUGUUGGUGACCGAUGGUUGUCGUUGGCUCGCGCGCGCUCGAAACGAACCCCGGGGGCCCAUUGUGUGCUGCGUUCUGGACGAGAUAACACGCCCGAAAAUAUCGUCGUCGUCGUCGUCGCUGCUUGCUGCUAUCGUUUGUCAGUUUUGGGUUUAGGACAAACCGUACCGUACCGUCGCCGUGACGAGACACGCGCGUGUCAGAGUGCUGAGUGACUAACCCGAAAUUGGACUGCUCCGGUGUCGAAUCUCGCCGAAAAGACAAACUCGAGUGUACGACCGUUUGCGGUCAAAAACUAUUCAACAAUUCAGAACUCGGCUACAUUGUAGAAAGAGGUGCUACUGGCUCCUUUAACUCCGGUGAAGAGUUUAGGGGAGUGAGAGCCUGCCCUCAGCCGGUUGAGGAGCUCUUGUUUGCUCGCGCUUUUCGGUGUCUCGUGUCUCGUUCUGUUAUUGCCGUGGCCGUCAACGGCCCCACCAACGACUGUGAUUAUGGAUAGUGACAGCCCGGUGCAGGAGUACUACAUCAACGACUGAGCCUGGCCACCGCCCUUGGUGCGUGGCGGCAGCCGGUGUGGAAACUAACCCUCACCAACCUAGUGUGUAGUUUAGUUGUUAAGUGAAACGGACUUUUACAUCUCGCCUAAGAAAGAAAAAAACAUUUUACUUCCGUAAGCAGUGCACGAGUCUUCCCCUAGUAGACUAGCCUAGUAGACGAGUGUGAGCCUGCUUCUGGCGCAAAAAAAAAAAACCCCUGCGGGGAAGGGCCCUUUGCCCAGGUGGCCGGGUGAGUGGUGCACCGUCCUGCGCGCUCUUAUCGCGCUCCUUUGCGCGCAAAACAUCCCAAAUUACACCCGUGAGUGCGUGUGUGUGUGUGUGGUGUGCGUUAAAAAGCAAAAUACGCUUGGCUCUGACCGCGCGUAAACCCGCGCAACCGAUUUGCGCUAAUCUUCGCGCACGCGUCCCUGUUUUGGCGCAGAUUUCUCUCACGUCGCGCCCAAGGUACCUGUGUUGGUGAGCCGCGCCGCGUUGCAGCGAUUAUCGGGUCCGUUACAGGAGGAAGAGAGCAAAAACCGUUUUAAAAAAUACCCCACCAGCCGUGCCUGUUUGUGUGUGUGUGUGUGCGUGUGCGUGAAAAAGAGAUCGUGUGUGUGUGUACAACAGGCGUGUUAAUUUCGAUCGCGUUCGACCGCUUUUUUUCUUCGACAAACGCGCAUAACGCAGGGUGAGGACUCACGAUCACGACGACUCUUCGACGUGUGUGUCUUUCAUUCGUGUUUGUCGCUUCACAGCGGGCAGUAGCAGUAGCAGCAGCAGCAGCAGCAGCAAGUUUUUCAACCCGAUUAGCGCGCGCGCUCUCGAGAUACCGCCGAGCACUCGUCAUCGCCUCCCCUUCAUCGCAACAACUAGCAGGAGGGUCUCUGGCUCACCGAGUCUGUUCGAACCGAGGCUUCAGUCGUUCAGUUACGAAACAAACGCUGUGCAGGCCGCAGGCUUUUCACGACCGUUCCCUCUCCUCUCUCUCUCGCGCCGUACUCUCGUCGUUGCGUGCUGGUGCCGGUGUGUGCGCGUCUUGUGUGUCGAAUGUUUGCCCUCGACGGUGGUCGCAAGCGGGUUAAGGAAAAGCAGUGUACCGCGAAAGGAUCCGCCAAGGUACUCCCGGGUCGGUGAAAGGUGCAUUGUGUGUGUGUCCGCGUGUGUGUGUGUGUCACGUAGUGAAAGUUUUGUGAGAAGAAAACAAAAAUCGUGUGUCGCGUGUGUCUUGUUGGGCGUGUUUGGGCGUGUUUGGGUGACACGUGGCAUCAUUAGUGCGUGUGCGUAACGCUAACGGCGGCUACGAAAAUUGCGCCCGCAGUAACGCUUGGAAAGUGGAGCCCAACGGACGGGCGGCUAGUAACGCUUUAGUGACGGCCAGUUCCUGUUAGAGCCCCUUAGACGAAAGAAAAAAAAAA